GGAUAGCUCAGUUGAUUAGAGCAUGGUGGUGAUAAAGCCAAGGUUGCAGGUUCGAUCCCCGUAUAUGACGGCUGCA